GACGAACGCUGGCGGCGUGCUUAACACAUGCAAGUCGAACGGGUCUGCCCUGUUUUUUGCGGGGUGGGUCAGUGGCGAACGGGUGAGUAACACGUGAGUAACCUGCCCCUCACUUCUGGAUAACCGCUUGAAAGGGUGGCUAAUACGGGGUGUUCUGGCUGUGCCGCAUGGUGUGGCUGGGAAAGAUUCACUUUUGUGGUGUUUUGGUGGGGGAUGGGCUCGCGGCCUAUCAGCUUGUUGGUGGGGUGAUGGCCUGCCAAGGCUUUGACGGGUAGCCGGCCUGAGAGGGUGGGCGGUCACACUGGGACUGAGAUACGGCCCAGACUCCUGCGGGAGGCAGCAGUGGGGGGUAUUGCACAAUGGGCGGAAGCCUGAUGCAGCGACGUCGCGUGAGGGAUGGAGGCCUUCGGGUUGUGAACCUUUUUCGCCGGUGAAGAAGGUCCUGCUCUUUGUGGUGGGGUUGACGGUAGCCGGGUUAUGAAGCGCCGGCUAACUACGU
rnacentral:rRNA from 1 species